GCAGCCACUUCAUCUUCUCUUCCUUCUGCUCGAGCACCACCAUCACCAUAUCAGUGAUACCAGUGCCACUAUAUACGUUCUUCUUUUUCUUAAAUCAACUUUCCUUAUAACCCUCUUGUUUAUCUCUACAGUAGAACCCUAGAUCCAGGAUUUCUAUUUUUGUUACCUAGGGUUUCGAAUUACAGAGAUGAACAAGAGAUUACUUAGAUCGAUCUACAGGAGGUUGCAUAAUUGAAAAACAAAGGUUGCAAAUCAUUUCGAUUGAUAUACAUGAGGUUCUUCAUCAUUCGAUUACUUCGAUUGAUGAUUGUUUUUACAAGCCAUUAGAAGGUGGACCAGCUAAAAAAAUACCCAAGAGUGUAAAACCAUUGGAUAGUUUAUCUGCUGUUUUAUAUAUUGGCAAAAUUACUGAUUGUUUCUAUGAAAAGGAAAUGGAAGGUGACAAUGUCUGGGAUGAACGGGGGUAUGUAUUUGUCUAUCUAGCAUCUCCUUCUAUUUCCUUCCUCUGAAGUCUCACUGACUAAUUUGUCAAUACAAGGGUGUGUCCGCGCUAGAAUGAUGUCUGAAAAUCAAUGAUUUUGAGAUGUAGUCCACAUGCUCGUGUGGCACUAUUAGGUGCAUCAUUCUCAUAUGCCAUCCCGAUCUUUUUACAUACAAGUGGAUGCUAGAUGCUUUCAGUUAAAUUAUUCAACAGGCUUAGAGUAAGAGGAGAGAAACCAAAAUCCAGUCCUUGUUUGUAGUAUCUGAGGAGUUGAUUUUGUAUGUGUUUGUGUAGCUAAAAGUUCCUUGAUAGUCGACCGUGAUGGGAAAAGUAAAGAGAAAGAUCUGCUUGUAGUUUGCUUUGGCGAGAUGUUGAUUGAU